CUGCCAAGGUGGCUGCCCGAUGCACGAGCGCCGCCGGCCAAGGACCCGCCGGCGUCCAGACCCCCUCCACGCCAUCCCCAUCUCGCCGGAGACCUGCUCCAAGUCUGGCCGCCCUCCAAACAGGUGCCUCUCCUCUCCCGGCUUCGCUUCCUCCAUUGUCGCCUCGCACUGUUGCUUCCCCGUCAGAUGCAGCACAGGUCAUGGGUGUACAUCUGUACAUCCAAAAUUUUCUGCAGAAAAUCAGUUUAUAUAGGUAUAUGACAAAAAAUACUGCAUGUCGUCAGUACGCGGAGACAGAGGCCAAGGAUGACAGGCAACUCUUGGAGGAGGACACCUCAAAUCAGUCUGGGAAGUUGUCGUCGUUUUCCUCGGGCAGCAAUGCAAAUUAUUGUAAUGAUACUUAUCAACGUUUUUAUUUGGUUGUGCAGUACUCGCUAGGUGCUUGACGAAAUUCCCAUAUGAUGCAUGUGGCAAGGUUCCUAGAGGAUAAUGUAGAUUAAUGAUUCCAUGGAGAGCUCCCAGAAUCUUCAAUUGGAGGCAAUUAAAGACGGACCUCACCGGAUUGGAUUUGUCUAGCAUUCCAGCUAAGUUUCAAGGUAAGCAAGACGUUGGUCCCUUUAGCUUCCUCCAAUGAGUUGAUCUUCUGAAACUGAACAAAAACAUAAAUGCAUUGACAGAGCUAUCCGUUUAAAUGUGUACAAGUUUUUUUUUCUAUUUGAUUCGUUUAUAUAUUUAGAAAUUAUGUUGUAAAUAACCUAUUGUUGAUGGUGUCUGUUCUCCUUUCUGAAAAAUUCCAAGAAUAAGCUCUCAUGUUCAGUAAAUGCAAUUCGGUUGAUUAGGUUAAUAGGAUUUCAUUUUACAUAAAUUUCAUUGUUCGUUCUGCACAGGGACACAAACUACAGUGUAGUGAUUCAUUGAAUAAUCUGCAUCUUAAUACUGCCUAUUUUCUGGGAUCUCAACUCUCAUGGCAGAAUUAUCAUGUUGACGAGGAAAAGAGUUGGUUACUUAUGGUUGCAGGAUGUCAGUUGAAGCUCAUGCUAUCAUCCACGAAGCGUUUGCUCAGUCAUAAGUUGUCGUUUCUUUCUAACCAUUUGCCGACUCGGUUACGCUGGCACACCAUGUUCAUGCAGAAAGAAACCUGUAACAUGUGUUAUAAUAGUUAGCCCUUUGUGAAAUUGUUAACUUCACUGUAACUUGUGGGAUCAUAUAGAAGCAAGACGCAUGUUGGUCCUGAUUGAAGUUCCUUCGAUAGAAAAGAUUUUGUAGCUCUGAAUGUUGCUUACUUGGCUAUAUACCAUGAGAACUUAAUCAAGUGUUCUGAUUUUUCCGCAAAACUAGGUCACAAAACUAAUAUUAAUCUCCUUUGAAUACUAAAUCCUUUUUCUUUGCUCUGAAUUUUUUUUCUUGCCUUUUGUUGAUUGUACAAGAGAUCUCCUGGUCGAAGUUUACUUAUAAAGCGUGUUUCACUUAUGCAG
rnacentral:lncRNA from 1 species